rnacentral:rRNA from 1 species
ACGGAAGGCAGCAGUGGGGAAUGUUGCACAAUGGGCGCAAGUCUGAUGCAGCAACGCCGCGUGAGGGAAUACGGUCUUCGGAUUGUAAACCUUUGUCUUUGGUGAAGAAGAAAGUGACGGUAGCCAAGGAGGAAGCCACGGCUAACUACGUGCCAGCAGCCGCGGUAAUACGUAGGUGGCAAGCGUUGUCCGGAUUUACUGGGUGUAAAGGGAGCGCAGGCGGGACAGCAAGUUGGAUGUGAAAUACCGAGGCUUAACCACGGAGCUGCAUCCAAAACUGUUGUGCUUGAGUGAGGUAGAGGUAGGCGGAAUUCCGAGUGUAGCGGUGAAAUGCGUAGAUAUUCGGAGGAACACCAGUGGCGAAGGCGGCCUACUGGGCUUUAACUGACGCUGAGGCUCGAAAGUGUGGGGAGCAAACAGGAUUAGAUACCCUGGUA